ACCGAAGGCAAACUGAAGACACCACUGAUAAAGAACACACCCACACCACCACUAUCAACGAACGGCUCUCAACCACCACCGAAGCACUCAUCGACGGAAUCGAGUCGUGGGUGCCGCAGGUUAUGGUGGUGCUGGGAUUUGGUUGGCUCAUCAUCGGUAUAUACUGUGCGUGGGUGUGUCGACACCGUUCCAAGUGUUGUUGGAGUAGACGAAGUUGUUGUCGUUGUAACACCGCAAAUAAUCUGCACGAUAUCGAAAUUGAUAUUUUUGAAGUGAGUGGCGCCACAGGGUGCAACCUCGACUCUAUACCGUUGAUCGAACAUCACCAUGCUGAAUAGGUAUCACCACCACUGACGUGUGUGUGUGUCUGAGUGUAUGUGUGUGUUUGUGUGUGCACACGUGAGAAGUAUAAUCACCAUUAUAUACUUCUUCCAGCCCUGUUUGUUUAUCUGGAGGACACGGUUCUGUGGAUUGUUAUGGGGUUUAUGCUGUUUGCGAGGGAGAGAAUAACCCAUUUUGUGCUGGACGGGGUCAUUCUACGCUUCCACCAACGCCAACAUCAACAGCAACCUCAACAACAGCAACAGCAACCUCAACAACAGCAACAGCAACCUCAACAACAGCAACAACCUCAACAACAGCAACAACAUCAACAACAGCAACAACCUCAACAACAGCAACAACCUCAACAACAGCAGCAACCUCAAAAGCAACCACAACUCCAAGAACCCCAACCUCCUCAUCUCCGAGAACGUCAUCAUCAGUUCUAUCAUCAAGCACCCCCUCAACAACCACAACAUCAACUCCCUCUUCAACAACCUCAACAACAACCACAGCGUUUGAGGCGAUCCACCAGGUGUAGGAGAGCCCCCAACAGACUUACCUAUUGACAUUGUUUGUGAUUGUCUAUUCUUUGUAAAUGUGGAGAUGAUUGGUUUGUAAAAUGUGUGUGUGAGAUAAAUAAUCAUUGUGCA